rnacentral:piRNA from 1 species
UGGGAGUGGACAGGAGGAGCACA